GUCCUCUUAGGAUAGCACCUGGAGAGUUUCCAGUACUCUACCAGUCUCAACUAUGGGAGGGAGAGUCAAGCAGAAGCAUACCCGUUCCAUUCCUAGCUUGAGCAGUAACUACAGAGUGGAAGGGAAUCUGCUACAAGU